CUGGCCCUUGAUGUCAUUAUUUUUUUCCAGUGUGGCCCUCUGGGAAGUUGAGUUUGACACCCCUGCAUUAGACGUUAGAUUGUUCCAUGUCGCGCGCCAGUUAACAAAUUCACAGAAAUGCUUUUGAUUAGGGCUUCAGUUUGGUUUAGCUCUUUUUCAUUUGACGAGGAUUCAAAUUGUUGGCCGUCGUUAUUUUAAAAGACACACAAAAAGCUAGUUAACACACAAAAAAAACUGACUUUCAGUUCGGUUCACCCCCCCUGUCUACGGGCCUGACAGAGGUCAUGGAUGCUAUCACUGCUCACGGUGACUUUUGUUGACCUGAACUGUUAUUUCUUCGCAAAAAUGUGAAUUUCUCCGUGCUCUAAAUGUUUUUUGAUGCAUUUGUAGUUUCUUCUUUUUCCUCCACUGCAUGUGUCUCAAGGAAGAAAGCACCAGACCUCCUUUAUCCUCUAUAUAUUCUCUUUUGUUAAGGAAUCUAUAUCACAUUCAUUUGUUUGGCUGGCCAAAGUUGUUGUGAUUAUUUUUCUCUUUUACAUAUCAAAUCUGUACAUGACAUCAUUGAACUGACUUUACUGAUGGGAUGUGUGAACAAACUCAAGGUUUUACAUGAUGAAUAAACUAACAUGAACAAAG